GAACGAUGUGUUCCAUCUAGUUACGGUGAACAUCUAGUCUAUACCGUCUUCGUGGCCGGUUGUAGGAAGAGAAUGUAGGUGAAGCAGACUUCCCCGAAUGGCUGCUGGCGCCUGUAUUUGGUUUUGUGCAACAAGUAACGGAGCAACGACAAUCCAUUCUUCCUGGACACAGCCUGCAAAUACAACAACAACAGCAGUACACCGACGUCGCUCAAAAGUCAAAUGAACCUCCCUCGCAUCAAGCAGAACGCAUUACACCAAAAGCCUCGCUGCGCUAUUGCGAGUGAAAUAUGCAACUUGCGAAAAUGAGGAAAGAAAGAAAUGAGGAAACCUCUCAAACCAGCAAGGUUUCAGAGCGACACUCUUUGGGCACAACGACAGAAAAACUAAUAGAAGAUGUAAAGUCGUACCAGGCUCAUGGUCGCAGAGCCACUCCCGGCAGCAGUUUCCUCGGAGACGAACGAGGCGAGCGUUGCGGCACUCAGCCGAUGGCCGAAAGCCUUCGUGGGGGCAAAGUGAUACGCAGCCGUACGUGCCGUUCUGACACGAGCACUGCGUGCGACAAUCCAGCUUGAACGUCGCUCCGUCCUUGUACUGACCUCCGCCUUCUACCUGGCAUGCCUGACCCUGCACCACUUUAGAAAAACGUCCACACGAAAUGGGGGCAGCAAGGAAAAUGUAAACCGCCAAGAGAGGAAACUCCGAAAUCAACGCAAUUUGAUUAAUACACAAACGUCUGAGGGCUACAGCGAA